UCCUUACAAUACAACCAUACUUAAUGAUUGGUAAUUCCUUACUAGUUAAUGAGUUUCAGACUUAAGUAUGAUGUUGUGUUUGCAUAUAGUUCGGGAAACCGAACUUGAGUAACAAUUUGUUACUCAUUUACUUCCUGUAUAUU
rnacentral:sRNA from 1 species